CCAAAUGCCCCAACGGGAAGAGAGGAUGGAGGUCUUGGUAUGCGAAUGACAGCAAGGCAUGCUGGGAGUCAGGAUCCCCCGCCCCUCCACCGCCGUAGUCUCCUGAGUGCGGCCCUCUGGGCCUGGCAGAGGCGAAGGGCCAAGCAGGGAGAGGCCGGGAGGAAAAGCGGGGCAAGUGUGUGUGAGGGGUCCUGGCCAGUCUGCAUCCUGCUAGAUCUCGCCGAGGGCAGGCGGGCCGCGGAGUGAGACGCCGGGCGCCGAGGAGGAAUGGGUAGGGAGGAGGACGGCCGAAGGGUCUGAUCCUGCAAGAGGCUGAAGUUAAUGAGAAUAGAGGGCAGCUGUGAGGAUUGGCUCUGGUAAGAUCUGAUCUUGCCAUUGGAUCUGCUCCGAAACAUGGAUCCCAAAGCGCAGCAUCUUGCAGGAUUCCUCCUCCUCCCACAUCUUGUUGAAGAUUGGGUACCUUAAUUAGGAAUAAUUCCAAAGAGAUUGUGGGGCACUCUCUCUUUUGCUGCUCUCAUCUGUUUACCCCCUUCAUCUCCUCCUCUGGUGGCUCUUCCUCCUCAUGGCCUCACUCAGACAGCUUGCGUAGGGUGGGAGUAUCCACUGGUGCUCCCCGGCUGAGCCAAGUACAGCAGAAGCAGAGAAGAGAAGCUUCAGCCAGCAGCUCUCUGCCUGACCCUUGUACAGUUUCGGUAUCCAGUACACUGUACAGUGUGCCUUUUCCAGAACAACAGAGUGGAAUGAAGCAUCAUCUAAAAACUCACUGCAUUACUGGGAGCCAGCCUGAUCAAAUGAGAUUUCAGCUAUGGUUAUACAUGAAAAUCAAUUGUCUGUAUCCUCUUAAAAAACCC